GUGGCUCCGGAGCGCGCCUGGGGCUUUUGCGUCCGACCCACUCGGCCCCUCCCCGCGCCUCCCCGCCCCGCCCUGCGGGCUGCUCCCUGCGCUUGCGCAGAGCUGGGGGCGUCGGGAUCCAAAGUGGUGGAAAAAGCGUCGGUACUAGACCUUUCAGCACUAAAAGCCCCCCAGAAAAAUGCGUGCAAGGGGACAUUGUUGUGUGGAGAGGGUUCCCGAGAAUGUGAGUCCUAAGUCUGCACCUUUCGUCAAGAGUUCUAGGUUCACAUUUUCAGCUGCUUGUGGGUUGGAUAUUUCUACAUGCAUGUCUUAUUGUCAGUUCUGACUCAGAAGCUCCAAAAACUUCUCCAAUAAACCUUUUUUUCCUAA